UGGGAAAUUUUGCACAAUGGGGGCAACCCUGAUGCAGCGACGCCGCGUGAUUUAGAAGGCCUUCGGGUUGUAAAAAUCUUUUCUAUGGGAAGAAAAUGACAGUACCAUAGGAAUAAGGACUGGCUAAUUACGUGCCAGCAGCCGCGGUAAUACGUAAGGUCCGAGCGUUGUCCGGAAUCAUUGGGCGUAAAGGGUACGUAGGCGGGUAAGCAAGUUAGAAGUGAAAUCCUGUAGCUCAACUACAGUAAGCUUUUAAAACUGCUCAUCUUGAGAUAUGGAAGGGAAAGUGGAAUUCCUAGUGUAGCGGUGAAAUGCGCAGAUAUUAGGAGGAAUACCGGUGGCGAAGGCGACUUUCUGGCCAUAAUCUGACGCUGAGGUACGAAAGCGUGGGUAGCAAACAGG
rnacentral:rRNA from 1 species